GUGUGUGUGUGUGUGUGUGUGUGUGUAUAUAUAUAUAUAUAUAUUUAUAUAUAUAUAUAUAUAUAUAUAUAUGCGUACACACACACACUCACAG